GACGAACGCUGGCGGCGUGCUUAACACAUGCAAGUCGAACGAAGAGCGACGGAAGCUUGCUUCUAUCAAUCUUAGUGGCGAACGGGUGAGUAACGCGUAAUCAACCUGCCCUUCAGAGGGGGACAACAGUUGGAAACGACUGCUAAUACCGCAUACGAUCUAAUCUCGGCAUCGAGGAUGGAUGAAAGGUGGCCUCUACAUGUAAGCUAUCACUGAAGGAGGGGAUUGCGUCUGAUUAGCUAGUUGGAGGGGUAACGGCCCACCAAGGCGAUGAUCAGUAGCCGGUCUGAGAGGAUGAACGGCCACAUUGGGACUGAGACACGGCCCAGACUCCUACGGGAGGCAGCAGUGGGGAAUCUUCCGCAAUGGACGAAAGUCUGACGGAGCAACGCCGCGUGAGUGAUGACGGCCUUCCGGGUUGUAAAGCUCUGUUAAUCGGGACGAAAGGCCUUCCUGCGAAU
rnacentral:rRNA from 1 species